ensembl:lncRNA
GCAGUAGCCACGUGUAGUGGACAGAGCAGAUCCCAAAUGUUCCAUAAUCGCAGAAAGCUCUGUUGGAUGGUGCUGCUGUGAACACCUCACUCAUGUUGGACAGACACCUACGGGGAGGUCCAGGACAACACUGUUCAGAGAGGCAGCCUACCUGUAUCUUCUUCAGCUUCUAAAACAGGAUUUGGCAGGAGUGGUGGUGCAUGCCUGUGAUUCCAGCACUCAGAAAGCUGAGGCAGGAGGAUCUCCAUGAGUUUGAGGCCAGCUGGAGUAUGUAGUAAGUUCAAGGACACCCUGAUCUACAAACUGGAAGGAAAGCUGGACCUGCUUUUGUGUUCAAGACACUCAACGCCCAGCUCUCAUGUACCUCCUCCUCAAGGCUGUCCUCAGUUUGCUUGUUGGUUUGUGGGGUGUGUUUUGUUUUUUGCUUUGUUUUGAAACAAGGUCUUGCUGUGCAGUUCAGGCUGGUCUUGAACUCACUACAUAGCUCAAGCUGCCCCCAAACUUGAGAUAAUCCUUCUGCCUCAGCCUCCCCAGUUCUAGGAUUAUAGGUGUGCACCAGGCC